GUGGUUUGUCGCGUUGUUCGUGAAAUCUCACGGCUUAACUGUGAGCGUGCGGGCGAUACGGGCAGACUUGAGUACUGCAGGGGAGACUGGAAUUCCUGGUGUAGCGGUGGAAUGCGCAGAUAUCAGGAGGAACACCGGUGGCGAAGGCGGGUCUCUGGGCAGUAACUGACGCUGAGGAGCGAAAGCGUGGGGAGCGAACAGGAUUAGAUACCCUGGUAGUCCACGCCGUAAACGGUGGGUACUAGGUGUGGGUUUCCUUCCUUGGGAUCCGUGCCGUAGCCAACGCAUUAAGUACCCCGCCUGGGGAGUACGGCCGCAAGGCUAAAACUCAAAGAAAUUGACGGGGGCCCGCACAAGCGGCGGAGCAUGUGGAUUAAUUCGAUGCAACGCGAAGAACCUUACCUGGGUUUGACAUGCACAGGACGCCGGCAGAGAUGUCGGUUCCCUUGUGGCCUGUGUGCAGGUGGUGCAUGGCUGUCGUCAGCUCGUGUCGUGAGAUGUUGGGUUAAGUCCCGCAACGAGCGCAACCCUUGUCUCAUGUUGCCAGCGGGUAAUGCCCGGGGACUCGUGAGAGACUGCCGGGGUCAACUCGGAGGAAGGUGGGGAUGACGUCAAGUCAUCAUGCCCCUUAUGUCCAGGGCUUCACACAUGCUACAAUGGCCGGUACAAAGGGCUGCGAUGCCGCGAGGUUAAGCGAAUCCUUUUAAAGCCGGUCUCAGUUCGGAUCGGGGUCUGCAACUCGACCCCGUGAA
rnacentral:rRNA from 1 species